AUUGAACGCUGGCGGCAUGCUUUACACAUGCAAGUCGAACGGCAGCGCGGGCUUCGGCCUGGCGGCGAGUGGCGAACGGGUGAGUAAUGCAUCGGAACGUGCCCAUCUGUUGUGUAGAGGGCGGCGAAAGCCGGAUUAAUACCGCAUACGACCUUAGGGUGAACGCGGGGGACCGAAAGGCCUCGCGCUAUUGGAGCGGCCGAUGUCGGAUUAGCUAGUUGGUGGGGUAAAGGGUUACCAAGGCGACGAUCCGUAGCUGGUCUGAGAGGACGACCAGCCACACUGGAACUGAGACACGGCCCAGACUCCUACGGGAGGCAGCAGUGGGGAAUUUUGGACAAUGGGCGCAAGCCUGAUCCAGCCAUGCCGCGUGCGGGAAGAAGGCCUUCGGGUUGUAAACCGCUUUUGUUCGGGAAGAAAUCCUCUGGGCUAAUACCCCGGGGUGAUGACGGUACCGGAAGAAUAAGCACCGGCUAACUACGUG
rnacentral:rRNA from 1 species